rnacentral:lncRNA from 1 species
UGGUUGAUGUGAUGUGACAUAUAUGUAGAGAGAGAGAGAGAGAGAAAGUAGGAUUUCUGUGUUGUUAAAAAUACUUGUGCUUCUAAUUUCUUAACUCUUUAUCAAUUUUGAUGAAUGAUUAAGGUAAGAAAGAGAAAAAAAUUGAAGAAAAAUAUAAUUAGUUUAGAAUAUUAUUAAUAGCAUUAAGUUAUUAGUGUUAUUAAAUUUUUUGCUUUUGGAUGAAGGGAUGUGCAGUUAAGACGAUAGUGAUCCUUUAGGAUUGAGUGGGUGAUUUGUUGAAUAUAUAGUAUGAUCUAACGGAUAAAAAUGAUCAAAAAAAUAUAUUUAACGGCAAAAAACUUGGUAGCAUCAAAUAUUUGGUGCUAUCGAUAGUAUUGUCGCGGGACUCUCUCAGUCUCUCUCUCUCUCUCUUCCUCUCUCUCUAUCUCUCUCUCUCUCUCUCUCUCUCUAUAUAUAUAUAUAUAUAUAUAUAUAUAUAUAUAUAUAUAUAUAGUCCGGCUGUAAUACUAUCGAUAGCACCAAGCGCGCGCUUGGUGCUAUCGAGUUUUCUGCCGUUAGAUUUAACCCUUUGACUUUUUUUAUCCUUUAGAUUAUACUAUUCAAUAAAUAACUUACUCAACCCUAGAGGGCCCACAUCAUCGUAACCGUACGUUUUUUCAUUCAAGGGCCGAAAAUUUAAUAGCACCAAGCGCUUGAUGCUAUCGAUAGUAUUCCAGCCUAGUUAUAUAUAUAUAUAUAUAUAUAUGGGUCCGGCUACUAUACUAUUAUGAGUAUGAUCGCCCUCGUACUCAUAAGUUAUUUUCGAUGAUAGAGCUUUCGAAUCGAUGAUCCACACCGUUAAACGUUAUUUAUAGCAUUUAAAAUUUCUAGAAAUCAAAUUUUAUAAUUUUCCGACAUCAUUUACCUUACGAUCAAGAGGUCACAAAUUUGACAAUUUUUAACGGCCGGUAUGGAAUACUUGCUAGUUUAACGGUGUAAAACAAUCGAAAUUUGUUGAAUUUUUGAUAGAAAAUUCUAUUCACUACAUAGAUAAAGAUCAAUAACUCCGAUCUUGAAUUGAAGGAUCCGAUCAUUUUUUUUAGGACAUCGUUCGAUUUUGACCGUUCAUUUUAUGCCCACUUGAUGAACUUUAUUAUGAUUUCAAAAAUUUACGAAAUUAAAUUUCUAGAAGUUUCAAAUACUCUAGAUCAUAUUUAACUGAGUGGAUCGUCGAUUCGGAAGCUCCAUCAUUGAAAACAACUUAUGAGUACGAGGGCUCCAAUACUCAUAAUAGUAUAGUAGCCAUGGCCUAUAUAUAUAUAUAUAAUCUGGCUACUAUACUUUUAUGAGUACGAUCGCCCUCGUACUCAUAAGUCGUUUUCAAUGAUAAAGCUUCCAAAUCGACGAUCCAUACCGUUAACCAUUAUCUAGAGCAUUUAAAACUUCUAGAAAUCAAAUUUCAUAAUUUUUCGACAUCAUUUGCCUUACGAUCGAACGCUCACAAAAUUGACAAUUUUUAACGGCCGGUAUGAGAUACUUGUUAGUUUAACAGUGUAAAAGAUUCGGAAUAUGUUGAAUUUUUUAUAAAAAAUUCUAUUCACUAUCUAAAUAAAGAUCAAUAACUUCGAUCUUAAAUUGAAGGAUCCGAUCAUUUAUUUUUAAGACGUCGUUCAAUUUUGACUGCCCAUUUUAUGCUCGUUUGAUGGACUUCAUUAUGAUUUCGAAAAAUUACGAAAUUUAUUUUUAAAAAUUUCAAAUACUAGAAGAUCACAUUUAACGAAAUUUAUUUUUUAGAAGUUUCAAAUACUCUAGAUCAUAUUUAACGGAAUUUGAUAUAUAUAUCAAACUCAAGUGAAGAGAGGACCCCAAACUUCAUCAUAGUUUCCGUUGAGAUAUAAUUUCACAGGGAUAUUAUACUUAUGAAAGUACCAUUACAUUCACAUGGUCUUCUUGAGACCUAAGAUGCAUGGAACUAAUUUGUGCUUUUAUUCUUAAAGUAGUAAUAUUCCAACACAACAUAUUCCUACACCGUCUCAAAUUCUCCCUCAAUAAACCCAUAUGCAAUUCGUGAAUUAUGCUACAAUACUCUUAGAAGUCCUAACUUUUGAGUAUUCGCAUGUCAUUUUUUAUGAUUAGAUAACAUAGUCAUAGCGCCAAAUUUUAUGAUUAUUCAAUAUUAUUUAUUAAUUAAUUAAGCAGUCUCAAAAUUAAUAAUUUCGAACCGUAUGCUUGAUUAUUAGAUAAAUAUAUGUCAAAAAAAAUUUAAAAAUGGUGGGGGUUUCUAAAAAGUUAAGAUUGUAUAUAGCAGCAUAUCCUUUUCUCCACCAUCUAUUCCAUUGUAGUGUUUUCUCGGGUGGGAAUCUUUACAUCCCAUUCAAAAGAUAGAGAUGGUUGAUUUGAGGUACCUUUCUAACAUCACUGUUAAAAGCAACCAAAGAUUAUACUCCUCUCCCCCAUUUGAUGAAGUCCCCUCAGGGAAGGGGAAAUUAUUGCAUAGGCCACAAUCAAAAGAGGACCAGAGAUAUUAAAAUCUAAAUGUAAAUAAUUAUAUACCAAAAUAAAUUAUCGAAGACCACAACUUUUGAUAAGAUAUUAGAGCAUUCCCGUAGUUUUCUCGGGAAGCUGACGUAAAUAUAUUGAAGAGGUUUCAUUGGUUAAUACACGUACGAUUCUGCCGACAUAUUAUUGGUCCGAAUAAUAAUUUAUUUUUUUUAUCUUUCUAUAUCUUUCUAAGGUGCCAAGUAUAUCCUACUUUUUUAUUUUUUAUUUUUUAUUUUGUCGUCACCUUAUCCUCCCAGUAGUCUUAGAAAAAGGCAACAUGUAGACGUCCCCACACUCCACCUACAUCCUCUUCUCCCCUCCUAAGAAACGGAUGUAUAUUCUUUGCAACCCAAGAAUAGUAAUUGAUGAUGCAUUUCCCACCUCUUUUUCUCUCUACAAGUAUCCUAAUAUGCUGUUCUUACGGAGAGUUGAUGUGUCGAUAACAUAUCUAUUAUUUGUUAUUUAUUAUUUAUUACUAUUAUUAGAUUAUUAGACUACAAUAAAAGAGAGUUGGGAGAAUUUGGAAGAAAUUGGGAGUGACACGUAUCUUCCAAUUUCUCCAAACUCUUUUUUAAACCCCUCCAAUUUCUCUUAACUCUCUUUUAAAUCCUCCCCUUCAACAUUAAUCUAUAUUUUUAUCUUCUAUAACACUAUAUGAAUUCCCAAUGAAAAUAAUAACAUGACAAGCCCUCUUUUUUUAAGAUUUUUUAGAUUUUUUAUAUUUUUUGAUGAUGGUUCAUUCUCCUUUAUUCUUACAUUUAAUGUUCUUAAUAAUUACAAUUCCAUUAACACUCACCUCUUAAUUACUCUUUAAUUUCAUUUAUAUCCCCUAUAAACUUUUUAAUAGUGAAAUAUUUAAGGCAUUAAUUAUAAAGAGAAAAAACUGUCUAAUUAUUUACAAGAAUAAUGGCUUUUUUACAUAUUUAUAUUUUUCCUAUCUUAUUAUAUUUAAUGUUGCUAAUAAUAGCUAUAUAUUACCUACGUAUGUUUUUCUUUCCUAAUUAAUUAUAUACUAUUAUGCUACAUUAUUAUUAUCUACAUUACUAUGCUUCAUUAUUAAUCAAAAGAUUGUUAGUUGAUAUAGAGCAUAAUUAAACAUGGAAGAUAUUUCGAAUGCAUCGAAAAUUUAAUUGAGAUCAAGCCUCUAACUCUCUAUUUGUUAGUGAAUCAGUUAUCUUAUUUUUAAUUUUAUAUUUUUCAACAUAUAUAUUAUUAAUAAUGUAUACGAAGAACGCGCAUGGACUCCAAAGGCAUUUCAUCUUCCACACGCCACCCCACUCUGAAUCUACGUCACUGGCACGUGCGACGGCGAUGACGUGGCAGGUCGCGAGCCUAUCGCGUCGUUUGGCUGCGCUCACACGCGUCGGCCGCACACGUGUCGAAGUUGGAACUAAUAUUACGCCUAACAGGGCUACAAUUAGUGACGUUGUUAAUUUGAGUUGCCAUAAAAGACAAAUUUAUAAAACUACACUCAAAUUUAUUUAGAACAAACCUUUUACGCAUGUUCUACUUUUUAUUGUCCACACUUGUAAGCAUUUCAGGAGUUACGAGGAAGACUAACGAGAGACCAUCUAAAAAGAGGGAAGGAAAAAAAAAAAAAAAUAGUACAAAAAAAAACUUACAUGAUUCCACUGCUAGUCUACAUUUACGAAUAAAAAUAAAUAAAAAUUAUUUAUCAUCAUCAAAAAUGAAUUAGUAUAAAAGAUGGCUCCUAGGACGCUUGACUUUACAAAAUAAAAUAAUUGUUUUGAAAAAAGUUAUUAGUUUUUGUGGUUUUACAUAAAUGAGCUUUCUUUAUUUUUACAAAUUUGAACCAGAAUUUUAAAAAAUUGACUAUAAUAUUAUGUGCAUUGGAGUAUUCAACAACUAUGUAUCUCUGCUUCCUCUGCCCCUACUCACAGGCGCAUAUUUGAUGCUUCAACCCCCGGGCAGCAGUUUAAGUACUUAUUCCAUCUCCGCCACCUCCGCACCAACUUCUCCGUCGUGUCCCCAUCGUGAUGCUCCUUACGAGUGAGAGGAAGACGAUGAAUUUGAAAUAUAUUUUUUAUUAAAAAAAUUAUUUAAAAACAUGAGAUUACCUUUUAUAUAUUUAAAGUUAUUCUAUCUAACUAUUAUAUCUAACUAUUACAGCUAGACAACGGCAAAAUUUGAGCAUAGUUCUAAGCAUUGCAAUUGACCCUUCUAUUGUUCCAACUUCAAUAGUUGAAUUCAGAUAUAUCAAAUUAAACACUGAUUUGGAUAUAUAUAUAUAUAUAUAUAGAGUCCGGCUACUAUGCUAUCGGUAGCACGGAGCGCUCCGUGCUACCAAGUUGUUUUCGAUGAUGCGGCUUCCAAAUCGACGAUCGGCUCCGUUAGACUUGAUCUACACUAUUGAAAGUAUUUGGAAACUAAAUUUCAAAUUUUUUCAACAUCAUUUGACUAGUGAUCAAAAGAUCUCAAAAUUGACAAUUUUAAUGGCCGAUGUAGUGUGUUUGUGAGUUUAACGGUGUAAAACAAUCCAAAUGCGAUGAAAAUUUUAUAGAAAAUUCUUUUCACUAUUUAGAGUAAGAUCAGUAUAUCUGAUCUUGAAUUUAAAUCUUUUAUCAUCAUUUUUUAUGAGAUUUUUAUUUUCAGCCGUUCAAUUUUAGACUACUUGUUUGAUAGGUAAAUGAUAUCGAAAAAUUAUAAAAUUUAGUUUCUAAAUACUUUCAAUAGUGUAGAUUAACUCUAACGGAGCCGAUCGUCGAUUUGGAAGCCACAUCAUCGAAAACAACUUGGUAGCACGGAGCGCUCCGUGCUACCGAUAGUAUAGUAGCCUAGCUCUAUAUAUAUAUAUAUAUAUAUAUAUAUAUAUAGUGACGCUGGUAUGUUUUUAGAAGUACGGAGUCCUCCUUGCUUUCAAAUCGUUUCGAUGUUGAAAUUUUUGAAUUGACGACCGGCUCCGUAAGACUUAAUUUAAAGUAUUUGAAAUAUUUAAAAAAUAAAUUUCACAAUUUUGUGAUAUCAUUUGCUUAGUAGUCAAAGAAACUCAAAAUCAAUAAUUAUAAUAGUCAUGGUGAACCGUUUACAAAUUUAACGAUAUAAAAAAUAUUCAAAUUAUGUAAAAUUUUGAUGAAAAAUUUUUUACACUAUAUGAAAUAAAAUUAAUAUUUUUGAUCUAAAAUUUUAAAAACAUAUCAUUAAAUUUUGUAACAUUUUUAUUAAAACUUUUUUAUCACAGCUUUUACCUUCCGACAAGAACAGUGCAAUAUAUUUUUAUCAAUUUGGGUUGAGUCGGCACAAAAAAAAGAGAAAAUACUUCAAAACCCCCUUUGUGGUUUCAUACUUUUCCAUUUUAAUACUCUAUAGUUUAAAGUGUAUUAAGUUAGUAUCCUGUGAUUUCUCACUUUAUCACUUUAGUACCCUGUGGUUUAAAGUGUAUCAAGUUAGUACUCUAUGAUUUUAUUUUUGUAUCAAGUUAGUAUUCUAUGGUUUUUAAAUCACAAGGUACUAAAGUGAUAAAGUGCGAAACCACAGGAUACUAAAGUGAAACCAUAGGGUACUAACUUGAUACACUUUAAACCACAUGGUACUAAAGUGAAAAAGUGCAAAAUCAAAGGGUAUUAAUUUGAUACACUUUAAACUAUAUAGUACUAAAGUGAGAGAAAGUGAAACCAAAAUGGAGUUUUUGAAGUUUUUCCAAAAAAAAAACAUUUUAAAAGAUAAUAAUGCCGACGGCCGUGUCCGUGCAGCAGCAGCAGACGGCAGGUACACGCGGUCAUCGGGAAUGGCGAAGGGACGCCGUGGCGGGGCCAGGCGGCGGCCGCCACGCGGGCUGCGGAGCCGCAGUGGGGCGCUGAAAUCUGGACGAAGCAACCCCACGUCCUACGUUUCCGGGAAGCGCGCCUCUAAUUCAUUUAAAUAAUAAGAAAUUAGUUAAAUUAAAUCCACGGAAGAAGCUGCGAGAAGCGGCGAAUUAGCACAAUCGCAUCUUUCGGCUUUCGCGCCCCGCCCUUUCGUCCGUUCCUGGUGCGUUUUUGCCCGACGACAGCAGUUGGUUGUAACUUCCAACUUCUCCGCACCGCGCCAAAAGUUUGUUCGACCUCUUUCCUCCUCGACACAUCUGCUGAAGAGAGAAAGAGAAUUUUAGAGUGCACCGGGGUUAUACUAGUGACUAGUCGCGUUCAACCAAUCAAAUAAUUUUUUUAAAAUUUAUUUUUUUCAUCAUAAUUAUAAAAAAAAUAUUUUUAUUAUAUAUAUUUUUUUUCAAAUGAAGAGAUGUGAUAUGUUUGUUAUUGAUGAUGUGAUGCAAGUGUGACAUAGGCUUCGCGGGGAGAUUGUGUUAUAUGCGGUGAGAAACUGCAAUAAAAAAAAUCGUCGGUUUGUUUCCGUAAGUAAUAUUGCAUUCCGCAUAUCACGAUGAGUCGGUUACGAUAUAUUUUCUGCGGUCCACCGGAGAAUGCAGAACUAUAUCCUUAUAUGCUUUUUCCUCAACUCCAUUUUAUCUAAUAAUGUUAGAUAGACCUCAAUACCAAACUAAGCCAUAGUAGACUUCCUUACAGAGAAAAGGAACUACACAGCCAACAACAGAAAGUAUUACUAGUAAUGCAGCACAUGCAGUUAAAAGAGGAAGUCUACUAUACAUGUCACAUUUAUGUCAUAUCAUCAAUAAUCAGUUAAUCAUAUCUUUUUUAUAAAAAAAAGUUCAAUAAAAAUAUUAUUUUAAUAAUCAUGAUGGGAUGGGUAAACUCAUGGAAAAAUAUCUAAUUGGUUGGGAACGCCAUCUCAGCAUUGUAACUAGUACAUUUUAGAGUUUUGUAGUUAAGUGAUGCAAAGCAAUGCAAUUGACGUGAGAUUAUCUUACUCACCGUUUACAUGAUUUUGAGAUUCUAAUAAAAGGAAACUUUAUAAUUCAUUCUAGAAUUAUUUUAGUCCUAAGUUUGGUCAAUUUUCUUAAUUUUUUAGAUCUAAUCACUACCUAAACUAUUAUAGCUAGAUUGACAAUGCGGCUUUUCGGCUAAUGUCCAUUGUAGGUAGAGUACGAUUUUACACAAGAUUGCCUAAAACUAGAGUCUUAUGUUGGCUGGUGCUUGUAAGUGUGUCUAAAUUUGACAAGAACGUUAGUUAUCAGGAGAGGACGGGAAAUGUGACACCCUCAUGAUCAAUUUAAUUGGAAUAGUCCUAUACAUGCACACCCAUGAUCGAUUUGAAAUAGUUUUUUAUAUAAGAUAUAAUAAACCUAUAUCUUUUAAUCCGAUUAUAAUAUUUUAGGCGGUAGAUAGGUUUAAAAGUCAAGAAGGUUGAGCAAGCUUAGGACUAAAAUAGUUUAAAGAUGGAUAGCUGUCUAGGAAGCAUGGCAUCGCAGGUUUUAUAGCCGAUUAGCUAGCUAGGGACAAUCCCUAUCAAAUUUUGGUUCCAUGGGGGCUCAAUUUUGCUAUCUAAUAUUGAUGCUCAGAUGCGUUCUUUUUCAGAUGGACGGUCCUUGAAAUUUUCCUGCAUAUAAAAUUGCACCUGCAAUGUGCACUCCUAGGUGAUAGACAUCAGCUGCGCUACUCAAAUUACUAACCAAAUCGAUCUAAUUAAGAUUAAGAAGAACCAGUUAACAAGCUCUAAUUAGGCUAGCGGCUAGCCAUUUAGGUGGAUGCUUACUAUUUGGGUUAUAAAUUAGUUUAGUUCAGGGUCCGAUAAUACAUUUUUGUCCUCUCCCUUUGUAUGGUUGAAUGUAGCUUGAAGUAGUCGUAUUUGUAAAUCUUUGUACUUUACUUGCAACAUGAACUAUAGAUCUACAAAUAUUACUCAUGUUUGUUAACUAAAGCAACAAGAUCAAGCUUCACUCAAAUUGGUAAGGAUAAGAAUAUCGUUUCAUAUUUGUAUAUAGAUUUCUACAUUCUUUCUUAUUUGAUAGCCCUUUUCAUAUGUAUACCAUGCAUUCAAAUGAACCUUCACUAAAGUAUUUCUAGAUAAAAAAACAAACAACGUACUCCAAUAUUAUUUUUUUGCAUUUAGAAAUACUUAAACAUGUAAUGUGAGUAGUUGGAGAUCAUACAACUACUGAACAAGCCAUACAUGAGAGAAGCUCCAAACACCUUUUGCUACAGGAUCAAACAAAUUAUUUAUAUCCUCUCUCCUCUAUGGCCUGUUAACCAAAAAAUCGAUUUAGUAGAAAAUAGUGUAAAAUUGACAGGCGAUCGAGAGCGAUAUGAGAUGAAUGUAUGGUGGAAAUUUGAACCCCACGUCCUCACGAAACUGAAAAAUUGACUCUAAUGAAUGUCGUGUUAUAUAAGAUCAAUAUGAUAAAUACUAAACAAGACGAACACUACAAACUACGUGGUUCCAUUUUUGACUAUAAUUCUAUAAGCCAGAGUAUUUGGACCAGUUAGGGUUUAAUCAAUUGAUCCGCGUACUCUUUCUCUCUGGAAACAUCUUCCUCUCUUUCAAUUUUGACAUCAAAUUUAAUAACACUCCCAUCCUUUUCGAAAAAUGAACAAAUUAAAGAUAUACUUCCAUAAAUAUGGUGCUUGUAAUUAAUUAAGAUAUUGACGUUCCAUAAAAUCUAUUAUCAAUCCAAAGAGAGGAGGGCCCAUUUACAAAGUUCUAGAACAAAUCCUUCAUAUUAUUAUUAUAAAUAAUAUAUUAUAGAAUGUGCAUGUGCGUGUGGCAUUACUCUGUGGAACGUUAUGCAAUUAAUCCUUUUCUUUCUACGUACUUAAGCUAUAUAUCAUUCUCAUUUAAUCAAUUUCUCUCCAUUUCUUUUUUUUUCAAUUAGACAAUGAAACAGAAAAGUUUUUUUUUGUUUGAGAGAAAAGUAGCACGCUACCUGUUUCAUUCAUUAGGUAAAUGAGCUUAACUACAUAGAGUGAGGCAGCUAGGGCCUCAUGUAGGCGACUAAACGAACGAGAAAGAAACUAAAAGAAUAACAAAAAAAGAACAACAAAGAACAAUAACCAACGUCAUCCUACUCUGCAAAAAUCAGUCCACUCUUUCACUAGAGCUCUAAUAUGGUGAGCAGUAGAAAUAACAUUCAUAGGCAGGUUUCGGAAAAUAAAAUUAUUUCUUUCGCACCAAAUCGUCCACCCCCUUCAAUUACCAUGCUGAUAUCUAACAAUUAUAGGUUAUAUCCUUAGAAUGACUCUCUCUGUCUCUCUCUCUCACUCUCUUUGUAAAGAUUGCUGGUUUAAAGUGGCCAACAUCCUUGCUUCGAAGUGGCAGGAGGCCAGGUUGGACCGAGUUAUGUUCAAAGUGGCGUGAGACUGGUUGAGUCCAGUCACAAUCGAGACCCGUGAAUCCUGUGCACGUACGCUUUAAGUAAAUUGGUUGCAUCUUUCUAACAACCCGAGCUUUUGGAAUUAGUAGAUGCAUCUUUCUAACAACUUGUCGGAUCGUUCGCGCUAACCAUUAAUCUCAAAAGCUCGAGCUAUUAGAAAUACGCAACCAAUUCACUUAAAGCGUAUAGAAACAACGUCCACGGGUCUUGAUUGUGACUCGGCCCACCUAGCCUCACGCCACUUCGAACAUGACUCGGCCCAACCCAGCCUCACGCCAUUUCGAACAUGACUCGACCCACAUGGCCUCCCGCCACAGGGCAGGAUGCUGGCCCAUUUAAGCCAACAAUCCCCCCUCCAGCACCUGCAUAUAUUUGCAGCAGGCAGAAAUCGAACCCGUGACCUCUGGCUCUGAUACCACUUGUCGGAUCGUUGGUGCUAACCAUUAAUCCCAAAAGCUCGAGCUAUUAGAAAUACGCAAUCAAUUCACUUAAAGCGUGCAGAAACAGCGCCCACGGGUCUCGAUUGUGACUCGGUCCACCUGACCUCACGCCACUUCGAACAUGACUCGGCCCAACCCAGCCUCACGCCAUUUCGAACAUAACUCGACCCACAUGGCCUCCCGCCACAAGGCAGGAUGCUGGCCCAUUUAAGCCAACACUUGAGCUUUUAGAAUUAAUAGUUAGUGCCAACGAUCUAAAAAAGGUAGGAAGGUGCUUGCUUCAUUUACUUUUUAGGAAUGAACUUAGCUAGAAUGUGAAGCAAACUAGGCUUCGAACUAAGGACAUCGGGGACCAUCCAUCAAGUUUCUCACGUCACUGUGCUAGGUACAGUCGACCUUAGAAUAGUGCUAGUAAUAUAGCCAAUUUGAAGAGUAUCGUAUUCUUUGUAAGAUGGACGAUUUUUUAAGGGUCGCACUAUUGAUAGAACCUUUUCAUAUAUCGACAAAUAAAUUUAUUAAAUCUGCUUAUUAUUUACUGAGUGAAUUUGAUAAAAUUCAGCAAAUUUGGCAUACUUCUAAUGAAACCUUCACUAUCAAUGUGACUACCCCUCUUGGAAGUUAUGAAUUCUCCACCAAUGAUGUAAGUGCACUAUGUGCUAAGAUGAACAGAACAAGUCCACAACCCUCACACACAGUGAUGCCCCCUCCCUUAACCUUAUCAGGUGCCUAAAAAAACAAACAACCUUCAUUGGCCAUUGAGAAAUCUAGAGAACAAAAUGUGGGCCACUAAGAUAAGGAUGAGAUGCAUGUGUCUUAGCUUGAUCAUGAACAUGGUGAUCAGGUGCAUGCCCACCAAAAUAUUCAAUUGGCUAUAUACUAGGUCUUUCUCCAACUGCUCCAAUAGAUAUAUAUAUACAUAUAAGACACUAUAGAUUCUCCACUAUAUAUAAUUAGCUAAUUCCAGCAUUCAAGUGGCAUCUUGAGGACAAUAUAUAUAGCUGGUGGAUAAGAUCAAGGGAAUAGUAAUUGUAAUGCAAUAUUAAUUGUAUAUAUCUAGUUUACUCCAACAUUAUAUAUCAAUUAUUAUCAAUACUAGAUGAUUCCAAAACCAUGUAGAGCUCGCUUCGACAACAGUUAAACUCGAAGAUAAUCCCUUCUUGGUUUUCUCUUAAAAAAUGUGCGCUAUGGGCAUGUUUGGCAUGCAGUUUUGGGGCGCUGGAGAGUUCGCUAAUGUGGUGAUCGACAUCUCCAAACUCAAGAUCCUUCAAGCUCGCAACUUCCACUUGCUCACAGGAGAAGUCGAGAACUUGGAAAGUAGCUAGAGAUCGAGGCCAUUUCUGGGGAGGAUCUCGUACGAGCUCUGUGCGUUUCAAGUAGCGGUAAGUGUUGUGUUGAGUUCCACCCGGAUUCCAGUUCGAGCACCACGCUUCACGUGAAAUAGACAAGCUCUUGUAUGACAAAAAUAAUCCAGCAAAGUCCUCGUGUCGUAACCUUCCUUUUUCUAUUGACUCACGAAAACUUCAUUAAUUUAAGCUUCUGCCUAAGAAAGAAAAAAGAAAAGAAAAAAAAUGGGAGUUCUUUAUCCAUAUGAAUUUCUAUCAUAAAUAUCUUUCUAGCUAAACUCAAUUUAUCAUUUGCAAUUAUAUCGCUACAACAAUCAAAAUUAAGCUGAACAUGAGUGAGCUAGACUAAGCUCUAGCUCAGCUAGCUAGUUUAUUAAAUAAAUCAAUUCCAAUUUACUGUGCCCAUUUACGAAGUAAUGAUGAACUGGCUCACAAACGACAAGUUGUAUUGUUGUAUUAUUGAUAGCCCAAUUUUUGAUGGUAGGAGCUCAUUACGAAUCGACCACAAGCAAGCUUGCGAACAGUAAAAUAUGUCGUGACAGCUUUAUAUAUAUCUAACUGCACAUGCGUUAUACAAAGAUAUUCUCUUUCAUUUUCUUUUAUUUAGUGUUGAAUAAAUCCAGCGAACAACUGAUCAAGAGCAAAUAAGGAGUCAACAUCUUAAGCGAACGUGUGGGGGUCGAUGCGGAGAGAAAUAUCCUCACAAAAGGCAAGCAAUUAAGUGCCGAAUAUUCAGGGACGAAAAAGUGAAGCCUUUUGAAUUGUUGUUCUUCACACAGCUAUAUAUUAUAAUGCAUAACUAAGCUCGAAUUAUAAUACAUUUAGCUGUACAAAUCUUUCGAUAUUUUCCCUUAAUUAUUUGUCUGAAUCAAUAGUCGACACUAUCAAAUAUGAUUUGCAUCUCAUGAACCUUCUAAAAACGAAAUUUUUAAUUUUUUAAAUAUUAUUUGCCUAUUGUUCAAGUGGUCCUAAAAUCAUAUAAAAUUUAAGAUCGCUUGAUGAUGACUAGGUAAAUAUUAAUGCCUAACAAUUAUAAAAUUUAGAUUUUAAGUUCAUCGGACAUAGAUAAUGCAUGUUUACUGAUGUCGAUCAUUCAAAAACAACAUAACAAUAUUAGGAGAUUGGUACUUUUCUAGAAGUAUUGCAGUUUAAUUCUUAUUUAUAUGACAAACUUAUAUUUUACUUUUUAUUAUUUUAAUGCAAAUUCAAAGAUUUAUAUCAAUCUACAUCAUUUGCGAUCCUGGAAACGCUCUGAUUAACGCAUAAACAUCUCAAGGGAAGGAUAAAAUAAUAAUUUAUGGUACGUAGCAAGGAGUGAUAUAUAGAAGGAAUAUAUGGUCGUAGAAUUUUCGUAGGGUGGAGGAUUUGAGUGGGAAAGCGACUUCUAAGGUUGGAGAGAGAAUAUGAAAAAUGUAUAAGAUCCUAGAGCAUGAGGAGACCAAAAGAAUAUAUCGAGGUUGAGGGACUUGUUUGUAAAUAUACAUUUUUUUGUGGUAGUCUUAGGUUCUUUUUUCCUCGGUUGGAUUUAUUAGGAAAUCAUACUGUGUUUGUAGGCUAUGGAGUAAGAAGUUUUUGUCAAAUCGUUGCAGAUCAUAAAAUAUAUCUCAAACUAAUUUAAUUUUACUAUGUAGGAUGACAAAGAGUCCAAUCAGGAUUAUAAUGAUAAUUACAACUUAAAAUAAUAUUUUUUAAAAAAUUUAUUUUUAUAAGUUUGUAUAAUAUAACAAGAAAACCUUUUACUGUCUAAUAGGACUCUUAUUAGCUUUUCAAUCAACCAGUAUGGAGUUCGUAAAACGUUCUCUAAAAAUCACAUUAUUACAAAAUUAUUAGUGUUAAAAAUAAUAGUUUCAUAUUAAACAAAUAUAUGACCUUUGAUUUGUACACAAUAUAUAAGGCUUUGGCCGAAAUUGUGGCGCGCGCUAAUGGUACCCAAGUAUAUAUAUAUAUAUAUAGAAUUGAGCUCCUAUACUUUUAAAAGUACUAAGUUAUUGGUGUUUGUAGAUUUUUAGUCAUUGGAUUAAAAGAUAUACGGUUAAGAUGAUGUAGGUCCCCUAGAAUUGAGUGGAUGGUUGGUUGAAUAGUAUGAUCUAACGGGUGAAAAUGAUCAAAAAGAUAGAUCUAACAGCGGAAAACUUGGUAGCACCAAGUGCUUCGUGCUAUUAAUAGCAUAGUAGCCGAACUCAUAUAUAUAUAUAUAUAUAGAGCAUGACUGCUGUGCUCUCAGGAGCACGGAGGCCUCCGUGUUCCUGAGCCGUUUUCAAUGAUGGAGUUUUGAAAUUGACGAUCGGCUCCGUUAAACUUGAUCUAGCGUAUUUGAAGUUUCUAGAUAAUAAUUUUUGCGAUUUUUCGAUAUCAUUUACCUAGCAAUCGAAAGGAUUCAAAAUCAAUUAAUUUUUAACGGCUGAAAAUAAAAAUCCUAUAAAAAGUGGUGAUAUAGCACUAAAAUUUUCGAUCAGAAAUAUUGAUCUUGUUGUAGAUAGUAUAAAGAAUUUUGUAUCAAAAUUUCAUUUGAUUUGAAUACUUCUACACCGUUAAACUUGAAAACGGCAAAUAUCAACUAUUAAAAAUUAUUGAUUUUGAAUUAUUUCGAUCACUAGAUAAAUGAUAUAAAAAAAUCGCAAAAAUCAUUUUCUAAAAAUUUCAAAUACGCUAGAUCAAGUCUAAUGGAGUCGAUCGUCGAUUCGAAAAUUCAAUCAUCGAAAACGGCUCAGGAGCACGGAGCCUGAGAGCACAGCAGCCUUGCUCUCUCUCUCUCUCUCUCUCUCUCUCUCUCUCUCUCUCUAUAUAUAUAUAUAUAUAUAUAUAAAGUUGGAUCAGAAAGUUAAGGAACGGAUUUUAGAAUCACAUGCCAUGUCCCCCGCAUAAGUCGAAAGAUAUAAAACUUCUAUAGAACCAUCAAAAUCAAAAGCUUAUGCAUGUAUAGAUUUUAACUCAACAGUAUAGAUUAAUCUUUUAUUAUCAAAGUAAUUAUUUCGAUAUGAAAAUUGAGUUUUGGUUUUGUAAAUUCUAGGAUGAUGUUGUGUACAGCAUAAGACCUUUUUUAUUUUAAGAUUCAUGUCGGUUCAACGACUCUAAUUAGCUUUAAAUUCCGUACUUUAUUUCCCAAUUUCUGGUUGAUUAGUUGACCUAAAACGGAAAAGAAAAGGUCUCGCCAUUGCGUGUGGGGGAUAUUUGAAUUAAAGAAUAAUCAAUAACCCAACGGUACGAAAUUGGUUUACCAAGCAUAGAAUAUUCGAGCAUAUUCAAUAAACUUGAAUUUGAAUGCUUCUUGGGAGUUUAAAAACAUUAUAUUAAUGUUUUAGGUACAUACAAAAUAAGAGUCAGAAAAGAAGGACGGACCACUUCUUUGAAUGGGGUCCUCUUUUUCUUUUUUCUUUUUCUUUUUUUUUUUUUUAUUAUAUGCAACCUAGUGAAUAUUCUCAUAACUCAGAAUUUUUAUGAAGUUUAAAAGAGUUAACUUGUUGAUAUAUUAUGCAUACAACAACCUAUUUAAUGGGACGAGUUCAUAUAUUGGUAAUAUAAUUUUUACUUUUCAGAUUUUAUUUUCACUUACUUGUAGAAUCUAGUUUAGUAUAGGAUUAUGACACAAGUAAAUUGUGUGAGAGAUGUGGUCGGUGCUCCAGCUGGAUGGCUAAAUGCGACUUGCUGUGUGAACGUGAUGAAUGUUUGUAAUAGCGUAAUUGUUUUAUAGUUUUGAUACUUUUUUUAUACAAUUUGUGUAUAAAUUCUGUUUCUAUUUGGAACAUCUUGAAUUGUACUGAUUGUGACGUUUUGGGCAGAUAGAAAAAUCUUUGUCUGUUCGACAGGUCUAGCGUACGCACUCAUGCAAGACUCUUUCCACCUAUUUGGAAAAGGGACGGCGGGGCGUGACAUACCGAGCCCCUAUUUUUGAUCGCAACAAGCAAUAUAGUAGAUUAUAGGAUCGUGUGUGAAGUAAACAGUCGAGGGCAUAGUAUUAGUUUAGCAUGGCGUAUCUUAUUUUGCUUUCGUUCAAUUUCCUGCUUAAUAAAAGUCAUUAUCAGAUUGUUUUUGCGAAGAAUGAAACAUAUAAUAUUUCGUAUACAAUUAAAGAAAAGGAAGAAGGAAAUAAUAUCAGCUGCUACAUUUUCCAGUUCAACACAACUAUGCCUUAGAGCUGCAAAUUUUAGUUGACAAGUUUGAAGUAAAAACUUAUACUUUUAGUCAAAAUCAAUUGUUAGACUAAGCAUGAAAAAAAUUGUUGAUAUAGAAAAAUAAUGAUUUCUAUAUGUAGGUAUAAAACGAAUUCACAAUGCACAUAAUUUCUACUUUGUAGAAAGGGAAAAAAAUUGCUUCAAUUUAAGCACUAAAAGAACAGGGGUUUUAGUUGUGCAAUUAUUAUUAAGUAGAAGAUCAAAACACACACCUCCAAAUGACACUCAAACAAUGCUGUAAUAUUUGUACAUUUGAGGACAGUUACAGAGAGAAAUUAAUAGAGUGCAAGUCGAAGAAACACUUUCGACUCUUAUCGUUUUUGAGCUUAAGGUUGCAUUUUCUGCAGAAUGAUGCAACUGACUCCUGCAUCGAGCCCGGACCGCACACAAAAACUCCUACUCUUUGUCCUUCUGUUUCAGUCGACAAUUCUGAAAGUAUGUCUGCAAAAAUAAACCAUAAAAUCAUAUGGAGAUCGAAAGAGACGAAUAACAAUGUUUGGUGGCUUAAGGAGUUGAUGACAUUACCUGAUAAGUUUGGCCUUUUUCUGAAGUUCACUUCAUGCUGUUGCAGUGAACCCUCUUCUUUCAUCGAUUGCUGUUCUGCAUAUUUGUCGCUACAAUAGUUCGAUGAUUUUCUCCACCUAUAGAGAACAGUCGCCACGGCGCAGCAGCUUGUUGCUAUCACGAAGGAAGAGAAGACCAACAAAUCGUUAAUCCACGACGGGGUUUUCUGAUGCGAGGGUUUCUUAUUUCGGUGGAAUACAAUGUGGUUUAGGCACACAAGUGAGGCGAGAAAAAUAACGAAGGAUAAUGCGGUGAUCAUCGCAUUCCACAAGAGCCCUUCUUGCAUUGGCACAACUUCUUGGUGAGGUUCGCAGUCCAUGACGACUGUUUCGACAUGCGAAUUGCCAUGCAGAAAGUCGCACGCUGCACUAGCCGAUCCAUGUUCUUGCGUUACGUAAAGUUUUAGCUCCAGAUAUUCAAGUUCACUGGGCUGUUUACGGAGUAACGACGAAAUCGGUGAUAGCAUGCUGAGAUCUUGUAUUCGCUUGACGCAGUAUAUCAAUAGUAUCUUUGUAGGGCGCCUCUUCGUAUUGCUGUUUCUCGAAGCAAUGUCAUGUAAAAUGCUAAGAAAUGGAGUUAUACCCGAUCCUCCCGCGAUCAAAACUAAACUGGAAUAUCUGCUUCAAGAAGACAUGUUUUUAGAAUUACAAGCGACUCCAGAGUUUUCUUUUACGUAAAUUAGGCUGUGAAUUUGUGACGGUACCUUUGGUACGGGGAAUUUACGGGACCGUAUGGACCAUCAAUUGCGACAGCAACAUGCUUCGCCUGAUCGAAUUUGGUAUCUGUCAUGGCAUGUAUCUUAUUAUAUAGUGUUUCAGUCCACUGCCCAUGGCUUUUAACUAACACACAAAGCCUCUCAGCAUUUCUGCUGCAGCUUGUUGUAAUGCUAAAAGGAUGCCACUGGAGUUUCGAUAUGCUCGGUAUUUUUAUAAAAAUCAUACUUGUCGGAGUAUACUUCGUACCUACAAUAAAGCAACAAUCACAAAUUAAAACAUACGAAUCUUAAUUUUAUAUUUGUGUAGAUCUUCAAUUUGGUGUUUCAAGUGUUGGUUACUUGGGUGCUUAGGUAGAGUGAGUUCUACUGCUUUGCAAGGCAAUAUGCGAGCGGAAAUAAGGCAUGUUUCACUCCUCGAUUGUAUUAUCCGUAGUAUCUUGUCAAGGGCGAAUAGAAGAACACCGGAAAACACCAGAUAGAAAUGCUGAUCCCCCGCAUGCAACAAGAAAAACAAGAUGAAUACUAUAUACAAGUGAUGGGCUAGGAAGAAAGCCUGAAACUGUUUCCUUCUUAUCCAGGGGAGUGAUGUUAUCCAGAUGAUCGCAGCUGUCGCGAGAGCAAAAGCUCCUGCGAUGUUCACGCGCCCUACUCUCUGCCACUUUAUUAUCUGUACUUUUCGAGAAACAGAAAAAGUGCAGUUAAUUUUUAGUCAUGAAGUGGCAUAUAUUUAUAGCAUAAAUAAUCUCAUAAUACUUUUUAAGUAAGUUAUAUUGGUGUAAUGAUAAGUCUCAUUUGGAGGCAUAUUACUGCAUAUUUUGCUUGUGGAAAUCAACGAUAAGUUGUUUAUACUGCAUAUGCUGCAUGACAAAUUCAGCCCUUGUUUACACUUGAAAUGUACCGAGAGCUAUUGAAAUACUGCAAGCGCUUAUAAUCGAGUAGAUAAGUUGGAAAUCUAUGUGUUUUAAGCCGAGUCGGAUCACUGAUAACCUCUCUUUUUUCUCUGUUUUUUUCUUUUCUGAAAUGCAACUGUCGGUGAUCUUGUUUUCUGGAAAGCGGAUAUAUAACAACACUACAGUUAUAUAUCUACCCUCUUUUUUUUUAAAUUUCUUCCUAUGCAAUCAGUCGACUGUCGAAUUCGUGAUGAACGACAUUUCUUUACGUGAUGUCCAUAAAUUCAACUUGAAUCAUUCAAAGGUAACAUGAUGAAAUUCAAACAGUUCGGUCGAUUGAUCACAUACCUCCUUUGAAAAGCGCUUAUUAACAGCCCAAAUAAACAUGAUACUCAGGCCAUGCAAAGUGGAGAGAAGUAUCAUUCCAUUAGCAAUCCAAACAUGAUAUCUAACAGAAGCCUCAAACUGAACUCCAAUUAUCCUGAAAAUAGAAAGUCCCCUUAGAAUCGGCAAAAGCAGGAUUGCAAGGCAAGCCUCGCUGAGCGAGCCGAUGCGUACUCCCAUAUGCAUCAUCUUUAGCUGCCAUCUUCGAGUAGAAAGAACUAUGUAAGAAGGAGCUUCUCAAAGAAACAACAAAAAGAGUAAAUUUAAAAGAUCAGUGCAUGAUCAUCACCUACCUAUUCAACUUUAGAGAGGCAUAGGGUGUCAUCUUCUUGAAAUCGCUCGCGACAUUCGAGUAAUAGGUCCAAACCAGGAAAACUAUAUACAGAGAUGUCGCAAUAAGCUCACCGAAUGAUACUACGCCGACAGGGCUACUUACAACUACUGGAUUCGCGAUUGUUGUUGAUGUCAGAGGUCUCUUCUUCCUGCUGACAUAUGUUUAUCAGCCUACUACAAUGUGGAAAAAAAAUAAAAAAUAAAAACAUUAAGCAUUUGAGCAAAAGUGCCAAGUAAUAAAAGCAUACCGUAAGUACCCGUUCUUCUGACACAGAUGCAAAUAGAUGUAUCCUAGAGUUGCGACGCCUAAAACUGGGAAGCAGAAUACUAUCACAUUGAGGCCUGCGUCAAAAUUUCGCACCAAGAAGAGAAGAUACUAAUACUGGUGUUAAAGAAUGAAACAAGGACUUUAGCAGCAUCAAGUUGUUUCGAUAAGUUAGUACCGUAGUCGCCAAGGAACGUAGCAUUUGCUCGAUCUUCUGCAACAUGCCAUGAUCUCUUCCACACAUUUGUCGGCUUUAGAAUCCAUAUACAUAUCCACGCAGCAAAUAAUAUGAUCAUCGACAGAUUGAGGACGACACGGAGAGCCGAAUUUGGAGCCAUGAAUAUUGAAUUGCAGAGGCUUCGAUUUCGUUAAAUUGUUAGAGGAAAAAAGUAGUAGGUUGUUCUCCUUUUAAGGAGUAAAUGGGCUAACCAAUCAUGACAUAUGGUGGAUAGUGGUUGUCAUCUCCAUGCCCACUUUUGCACUUUGGCUGAUCAUGGUGAAGUCAUGCGACGAGAGCGACUGACGCGAUGGUCUCAUCGAUUGUUAUCCAGAUCAGGUUCUCCUUUCAUAUUUAGAAGAUAUUGAUAAGGCAAUUGCCUUGUAAAAGAUUUAGAGCUUGUAGCAUUGCAUAUUUUUGUUCUGAAGAUGCUGUUCAGUUGUGUGUGUGUCAUCUUGAGCAAAAUUCUCAAUCUUGGAUCAAAUUUGAACUUUAUUUUGAUUAUAAUGAUUAAAGAUAUUAUAUGCUUUAUUUGAAAAAGAAGGAAUUAAUCAUGUGAUCAAUAGAAGAAAAAAAAAAUCCCUUAUGUACAAAUUAUUAUUAAUUACUUAUUCCGACACUCAAAGAAGGCCGCGUAGAAUGAUAAAGCAUGUGAAGUCAGCAUGCGCCAGCGGAAGCUCACGAAUAACACAUGCCUGACUGCCCAGGGCUCGUGCCACUCCAUGCCUCUUGAGAAUCUCUGAAUAAAUUGUUGCCCGGACCCAGUCCAGCACAUCAGCAGUGGUCCACCAUGUAGAUUUGAAAAAUUCUCUUAUACAGAAUAAAAAUUAUGAGUUUAGGGGAUUAAUUAAUAUACGUCAGUGUUUUCUAUAUGUAAAUUUAAGUUAUCAGAAUUGAACCAAACUACUAAUAGCAUAGUAGUAAGGUACUCGAGAGCCAGCUAUGAGGUCGAAAGUUUGAGCCUCGUAUGAGCAUAAAUUUGAGACUCACGUGCUUGGAUUGGAGGAAGUCUAUUAUCUGAUAAUCACACCACAUCAUCUAUAAUCAGUUAAUCAUAUUUUUUUAGGAUAAACGUGUAAUAAAAAUAUUUUUUAAAAAAACAUGAUGGGAUGGGUAAACUACGAAGGCGUAUUUAGAUGGCCGGAGACACGACGUCAGUAAUGUGACUUUUAUGUUCUAGACUUUUUCCUUAGAUAUAGAGGUUCUGGAUAGCGGGACCAAUGGUAGAAAAAAAAAAAAGCACUAUUAUUGGGUGGUCCGCAGCUGGCGUGGUGGACUAGUUCUAGGUAAUAAUUCCAACUGGUUGAGGCCUCUCCUUUUUGGGUGCUCCACCAAGGCUAAUGGAGGAAGGUUGAUAGGUCCACCAAAGAUCUCAACAAUUGUGCACUGUAGAUAAGGGGUGGUAAUGUAAAGAACGCAAUAUUGGGAGGGCUAUGAAAAGUGGGAGAAUGUCAAAGACUCAUCAUAUUGGAAUGUUGAGGCUAGUCAACUAGAAUUGCAAUUUUAAGACCACAAAAGAACCCACUGUUUGGAGAGGACACUUACCAAAUUGAUAGUUCAACUUUAAUUCUUUAAAUGACAAGUGGGUUGCCAUCAUGAUCCAUUUGUGGAAUGUAAAGGUGUUUCUAGUAGCUAAAACAACAAGAUUUUAAGAUUUUAAGUGACAAUCAAUACAUACCGUGUCCAUCGAAUAUUUACAAGAUACUAUUCCUGUGUUGUUUGUAUAGCUUAACAUUCUCUUUUCUUUAAAAGAAAAGAAAAGAGAAUGUUAAGCUGACAGACUGCUGACUCGUGGAUUGAGGGUCGAUCAACACUGUGUCUUCUGUGCCUUCUACACGGAAAAUUACGACCAUCUUUUCUCCAACUGUAUCUUCACUCGUUAUCUCCUACUCACUAUGGAGGGGCAGUUUCCUUUGACCGAUGCUCUAGGGGACGUUCGAGAUCUCUGGACCCUAACUGCCAACACCACCGACGCUGCUCUGAGAUCAAAACGCCUUUGUCGCCUUGCUGGAAUCUGGUGGAUCGUCUGGACGGAAAGAGAUAAUUCCAUCUUCCGUGCAUUAUCCCACAACGUUCUUCGCUCUUCCGAUAGGUUGAGAAUUUUGUUGGCUGAGUGGUCCGCGAACAUCUGAUUUUUUUUUUCUUUUUUUCUUUUUUUCUGGCUCUUUGCUCUCCGGAAGCCCUAGCUGCUUCCACCCUGUUUCGCUUAGUUCACUUCCACUUAAUGAAUGAAGCGGGUAGCUUGCUACCUUUUCUCAAACAAAAAAAAAAACAUUCUCUUUUCUUUAGAACUAAUAAAUAGUUAUCUCAAUAAAAUUUAAAAAAUGAUAAAAAUAUAUAACAAUUAGAAUAUAUUAGUACCAAUAAGGCUAAUUUAUGAUCGGCAUAUAUUGGCACUGCACGGCAUGUAGCAUGUCGUACCAUACUAGCAAGUUUUCGAUACGAUCCUGUGAUACGACACAAAUCCUUGCUCAACAGCCUAUAAUACAGAAAUUAAGUAUUAUAGCCUAUGAUAGGACCCCUUGAUAUAAAAUUUCAGGUUUGAGAGAAAUUUCAGUUUUUUUUUUUUCUCCCUAGUUUGCCUAAAACGUGAAAUUCAAUUUCUUUAAAACCGAAAAGCAUCACAGCAGGAUCAUUUUUCUGCUUUUUUUUGUUUGCGUAUUUUUCUUUGCUUCAUGAAAUUUUUUUCUUGUUAACCAGUCCCAGUGAUACUAACUCCCUGAAACACAUUGUUACAAGCAAAUUUUGCAAAAUUCAUGGAAUCACUGUACUUUUAGUCCAAUCCACAUGAGCCCAACCAGAAAAGUGUUCUUGAAUCUUCUCAAAACAGAGUUUCUGAUAAGUAAUCCCCAAAAUGAAAAUCAAAAGAGAUUAAAAAAAAAAAGGGAAAAAUAUAGCUUAUGAUCAUCUUUGUGUCUCUACUUGCAUCUACAGUUCACAUCAUGAAAGAAAUGGCAAACACACACACACACACACACACACACACACACACACAUGUUCACAAUUGUAUGAACGAAAAUUGGCUUCUGCACCGAAAGCACUUCUUGCUGCAGCACUCUUUUCUGCUAACCAUCAGUUUUCUGACAGGCAGGAGAUGAUCAUUAACUAUGAUCAACCUUCUAAAAUUCGCUUGAUCUUUCUCUCCAAUCUGCUAUAUCUUCUUGGUUGCACCAAAAUAUUUCCAAAUAAUCAGAAUAAAUGAUACCUGUCUUGUGAAUCAAUCAAACAAAACUGGGCAAAAUCUUGGUUAAGAUCCAGGUGUAGAUAACAGAUAGAAGAGCGCCAACAGGAAUUGUGACCACCCAGGAAGCAACAAUCUCUCUCACGGUCUCCGCUCGCACGCUGUUCAAUCCCCUGGCGAAUCCAACGCCCAUGACUGCGCCUACGAGCGUGUGCGUGGCAGAGAUUGGCAGCCCGAGCUUCGAUGCCACGAGAACCACAGAAGCAGCUGCGAACUCCGCUGCGAACCCCCUCGUUGGUGUGAGCUCUGUUAUCUUCCUGCCGAUUGUGGAAAUCACCCUGUACCCCCACAUCAUCAGCCCCGCGACGAUCCCGAAUCCACCCCACGCAAGAACAUCGGUGGGGAUGACUAUUUCGGCCCCGCUCGCGCCGCCAUGCAGGAUGGAUAGUGCGGCCGCCAGAGGGCCGAUGGCGUUCGACACAUCGUUCCCCCCGUGCGUGAACGACAUGAAGCAAGCCGACAGCACUUGCAUGUAACCGAAGACGCCGUACACGAUCUCCAGCUGGGCUCCUGUCGGGCCCGCGAUGUUGGAUAGAAAUCCGAUGCUCUGAACAUGCGGUUUCUCUGUCGGUGCAGGUUUCUCUGCUUCGGUGGAUAGGAGGUGUCCGAGUUGUUUAUGGAUGACGCGGCUGACGAUGACUGCCCCUGCAGUUCCGCAGGCCAAGGCCUGUGCUAGCGCAAUUGGAAAGAUCUUGCUAAGAGGAAAUGCGGAGAAGGAGAUUCCGGUGACGCCUAAGAAAACAGCUAUCGGUGCAGCAGCUGCUGCAGCCUGACCGGGGUUUGGCGCACUAUAUACAAACUGAAGAAGAAACAACACUAAAAAUGUUAGCACAGGUUAAGGCCAAUUGCAAUUCGGCCGUAAAUCAAGUUUAAAGAGAGGAACAACAUUUGUUUCGUAGUCGAACAUGACAACAAAAACUGAGAAUGUCAUCUAACUGUCGGUUCGAUUCCAUGAAAAUGGUUUCCCCAAGAUCGGCAUGUAACUCAUGACUAGCGUUGUUAUGAUCAAUAAAGAAAUUAAUGUUUUUAUUGAUCGAAGAAACGAGAUUGCUAUAGUAAACGCAUCUUAGGCUCUUUUCCACAAUGUGUCAGUUUUAAACAGGGCAUGAGGCAUGUUAUUUGUAAGCAAGGAAUGGAGCAGCUUACCCUGCGUAUGCAUUUGUAAACAAGGAAUGAAACAGCUGCUCCCAUGAGAGGAGAGAUGACCCACGAAGAAGUAACUCGCGCCAAGGAACUCCAGAAAACAGCGCCGACGCCUCCAUAAACAAGCCCGAAGCCGACCAUGGCUCCGACAAUACAAUGCGUCGUAGAGACGGGCCAACCGUAGAAAGAAGCCACCUAAAACGAGAAAAAAAAAAAACC